ACACGUUUUUUUAUUCACGAAUCUGUCUCAUGAUCGAUUUAAUAGCAGUAAGUGUGCUAUUUAAAUAUAAGUCAAGUUAUCAACUUUAUUUCAUUGGCUAAGCCAGCCAGGCUUUGAACGAUUUUCAAAUUUUAUACCACUUUCUCAAAGUGCUAUCGGAGAGAAGUAGAGUAUUGAGUAAUUUUUGAAACGUUUGACGAGAACCUAGAAGUCAACAAUCAGCCAGUCGCUCAUUUUGUCGCAGUUUUUUUACAACUGUCCCUUAUAUCGAAAGGGGGACAUGUUAGUACUGAGAGAAACUACGGAAAGAGUUUGACGAGAGCCUAGAAGUAUCGAUUUAUCGUGAAUGACCUGGAGAUUCGUAGAACACGGAAGACUUCUUAUUCGGAAUGAUUUUUACAAAAAUUGAUCAAAGAAGGAAAGAUGACUACAAAAGAGAUGAAAAAUCUUAAAGAAAGAAAGUUGAUCAUCAUCGUCAUCGUCACAGGAUUCAUUUUUUUCUCUAUUGACAUUUUUAUCAGUGGUAAAAUAUAUCACAAACUGUUCCAGCCAUGCAGAGGUUAACAUGAUUGACAAUUUUCUCAAAGACAUUACAGUAUUAAGAAGCAAAAGAAACAUGGACAAUGAUAUUAAUGUAGAUAACAAAUUGGAUAGGUUUAGAUAUACCAAUGUCAAUACAGCUGAUGAUUUGAUUGGGUAUAUAGCUGUGGGACAGGGGUAUGAGCAUUGUAUGGAAUUAUAUUUCAUUCAUAGUAAUGAGGUGGAAAUAGAAGUUAAAAUAGAGUCGAAAACAAGUUUUGUUAAAAUGCAAGGAUUUUAUAGGUUUAAUAAUAUAACCAAGACUUUUGAAUGUAAUAUACUGAAAAGAGCUUUUUGGACAUUAUUUGUAAAAGGUAAUGAUUCAACAAUUUGGUCUGGAGAUGUCAAUAAUGAUAUGUCAAGGUCUGGAAAAAUAUUUUAUCCAGUAGACCAGUAUUAUUACCUUUUUCAAAGUUUUGUACAAAUAUUAAAUCCAAAACAUUUAAAAAUAAUUGGAGAUAAAAAGGGAGACAUUGUAAGAAAAUGGGAUUUUAGAGUGAUAAGGAAGUUUGCUCAAUUACGAGUCAAAAUUAGCAUUACUGUGGUAGAUAUUAUUGUUCCAGAGAUAAAAGUGUCACCACAGUCUUUAAAAGUCAUUGAAGAUGAAGAUGGAUUGAAUUUGAUGUGUAGUACUCAAAUUUAUUUACCUCAAAGUUCAUUGUUAACUUGGAAAAGGAAUGGUGAUUUUUUGGGUAGUUUUUUCCACAGUACAACUAAUAUAAUUCACAAAGGAAUUUUUGGUAAUGUGAAUUGGAUCAAUGAUAAAUUUAUUUAUCAUCAAUCAGGUGUAUCUUUAAAUGAUACUGGUAUAUAUGAGUGCUGCAUAUUAAUAGAAGGCUAUCCCUUGAAAUGUGCUAAUGCAAGUAUAAUUGUCAUGUCCCCAGGGAAAACUCCAUGUGUUGGUAAAAACAGUGUUUUUGCUAAUCCCUUCCAGAUUAACCAUUUACAAUCCAGAGCUCUAUUGAGAGAAGGAACAUUCGUCAUUAUAUUAUGGAACUUUAAUAUUUCAGAAUGGAAAAUUUCUACAAGGUUUCCACAAUGUCAAAGACAUUUGGUUAAUAUGGAAUUGGGUAUUGAAAGAUGGUUUGGAAUCAAUAGUCAUAACAGAAAUAGACGUGGUAUUGUCGAAGGAGCCCUAGGGGGCAUAGGUGUAAUUGGCAGCAUUGCAAAUAGUAUGGAUAUUAACACGUUAAAAUCUGAUCUUGAGUCAGCAGGUUUAGUGGGAAGUAAAGGUUUUAAGAUCCAAAGAAACUUAAAUCAGAUAUUAGAAGAUAUGGUUAUUAAAACAGCCAAUGUAAUGGGUCCAUCCAUACUACAUCUUCAGAAUAUUACUCUCAAUUUAAUGACUAGUGAAGAACAUUCACAUAUUGCCAGAUUAUGUUUAGAAAUUCAAACAGAAUAUUCCACUAAUUUUAAAAUAAUUGCACAAGCUUUUCAGAGUGGAGUUACCCCUCUUGGUAUAUUGCAGAAUUUACCCAGAGAAUAUGCAUAUGCAAGAAAUCAUACUGAUUUAUGGGUAAAUAAAUGGUUAGGAUGUAGUCAGGAUGUAUGUUACAGUUCUUCUAUGAUUCCUAUAGCAGGGAGAGAACAAAUUUUGGUUCCAAUUACUGUUUUGGGAUUACCAAUUAGUGAUACUCAAUUAUUAUUUUAUAAAUUGCAGUAUACAGAUUUUGCGCUUAACAAGGAUAAUUUGGAAUUAGAACAAUUAGAUUUGUCAUCAUGUUUACAAUUUCAGUCUAAAGUUCUUUGUUUACCUAAUCAAGAUAAAAGUAUAUUUCAUUCUUGUUAUCAUAAUCAUACAUUAUGUUCUGCAAGAAUAGAAACAUUUGAAGCUUCUUCUGAAUUAACUACUCUUGUAGAUAAAAGGAAAGUUUGUUUUCAGAUCAUGAAAGAUACAGAAAGGGUUCAGACUUUCUUUUCCUCUUGCACAAACACAGAAAA